ACUUCCUCAUGUAGGCAUAUGUCGUCUUUUCCGAAGCAGGCUGCUGAACCUGUUUGAGGAGGCCCGAUUUUCAAAUCUGACACACAUUUCCAGCAGUUGCCAUGAAACCCUCUUUGUAUUCAGACAUGUGAAGAACAUGCUGGACCUUUAUCUUCAUUUCUCAGCGAUGCAUCACAUUGCAGAUAUAUCACCCAAUCGAGCGUUUGAAUCAUUUCCUGUUUUGUCUCUCUGCACAGAUGACACAAUCACGUUCCUCUCGCCGUGGUGUUUUUCCAUCAAAACGAGUAAAACACUGAGUGUGGCAGAACCUCACCUGUCCCAGUCCUCUCUAGCCGGGUUUGGCUUGGCUUGGCUUGGCUUGGCUGGCACGCAGAGUUCACAGUGGCGCAGCUCAGGCGCUCCGGCCCCUGGAGCCAGAGGGGCCACAGUUGAGUCCACAGAGUGCCUCCAUGUCUAUGGCUCUCUGCGUUAAUGUCCCCCGAGGCCCAGGCCGAGCUCAGUCCGGCUCAAACCGCGGACGAGGCCAUCGCAGUCAGCGCCGACCACCACUGCGGCCUCUCGCUCCCACUCCUCUGCCUCUGCCAUCCAUUAUGCAGCCAAUAGUCCCCAGCUGCAGCGCUCGCAUCUCUCGGCUCACCCUUUCAUUUUGCUCCUCUCUCGCUUGCCCACUCAUUUCCCUGCGUCGGCCUCAGUUGUUCACUCACUCAUUCAGACACUUGAUCAGCCGUGAGCCUGACAAUCAGCCUCGCAUUCACGCGGGACACAUGAAACCGCCACCCAGUGUUCUCCGUUAUUGAAGUGAUAGACUGAAUUAAGUUUUAAUUGAAUUUAGAUACAUCUUCAUAAUUGCUGACAAUCAUUACACAAGAUAUUUACAGUCAUUAUGAAAUAUUACAAUUGGAAUUUACAGAAACUUUGUACAAAAUAUGCCUGACUUCAAUGCCUGGAUAGUGGGGUCCUUGUUAAGUCGUUUCUGGAGAGCAAAACAUUGACCCAAAAGUCACUGGUGUCUGGAAGUGCUUUAGUUUCAGCAAGUAGAUGCUUUUAGAGUCCAUUAAAAAGAAAGUAAAGAGAGAAAAGUCCCAAAAGUACAGAGUCAGCAAAGUUGUGAAUCGUGUUUUCUUUUUUUUUCCUCGGUUAAAUUGCUCUUUUCUUUUUUCUUUUUUUCUUCUUUUUUUUUGACUGAAUGGUACGUUUGAUCUGUAAUUCAACUGCAAAAACAACAACAAAGACCCAUUUAAAUAGAAUAAAUCCAUAAUAUUUACACGAUAAUGUGAGUAUUGAUUUAUAAAAAUGAAUUAUCUCUUUUUCUUUGAACAUGAUUUAUGUUUAUCUACAGUUUUUUUUUUCAAAACAGAAACCUAAUCACAAUGGAACGCAUCAUACUUCUAUCAUUCAAUUUCUACUGAUUAUGAUGAUUGUGGAUUGCCAUAUUUAUGCAGCAAGUCUGAUUGCAAUGAAACUCAGCUCAUCAGAAAAGUUCGUUACACCAGCUUAAAGUCGUGUUAAAGCCAUUCUCCGACUCUGAAGCUCCUUGUGUGAUGGCAGAAGGUACGGAGCCAAAUGUUCUCUUUAAAUAAAAAAAAAAACAAAACAAAACAAAACAAAACAAAAAAAAAAACACGUGGUGAAAUGGACUUGAUUCUGUCAGCACAGCAAAAGCGAAACAUAAACUCAGCCAAAGCGUCAGUGUCCACAGUUCUGCUCUUUUUUUUCCCAGAUAAUUUUGUGACCUUUAACAAACUGAGGAAGCUUUUUUUUCUUUUUUUUUCUCUUUUAAUUUUAUUUUUCUGUUCAGCGUUGGCACCGCUAGAGCCCAGGCGAGGAUGUCCGGAGAAGAGAGCGCCUCCUGCUGUCCCGCCUGUUGUCCUCCGGCGUUUUCUCGGACCAUCCGUCCCGGGUGGGCCGUGCAAAGCCACAGCUGCGAUCUUGAACUGACAGAAUAACCUCUACUAGAAAAACUAAAAUGCUUUGCGCUCCGUCGUCAUUAUGGCUGAGAUGAAAAUGAAAUCAAA